UGCCAGCCGCCGCGGUAAUACGAAGGGGGCAAGCGUUGUUCGGAAUUACUGGGCGUAAAGAGCAUGUAGGCGGAUGAAUUAGUCAGAGGUGAAAGCCCCGGGCUCAACCUGGGAUGGUCAUUUAGAACUGGCAGACUAGAGUCUUGGAGAGGGGAGUGGAAUUCCAGGUGUAGCGGUGAAAUGCGUAGAUAUCGUGAGGAACACUAGUGGCGAAGGCGAGACUCUGGACAUUUACUGACGCUCAGGCACGAAGGCUAGGGUAGCGAAGCGGAUUAGAUA
rnacentral:rRNA from 1 species